rnacentral:lncRNA from 1 species
CUGGGUGACAUUGAGAGCAGCAGUGGAGCGCUGGCUGUCCCCGUGGCUGCCGGGGCGGCUGGCCCUCGGCGACACUGAGGUGGCAGCAGUGGAGCGCUGGCUGUCCCCGUGGCUGCCAGGGCGGCUGGCCGGGGCUCUGAGCAUGUCUGCGGGCACCGAGGCAGCCAGGCAUCUUCCCUGUCCCUCAGCUGGUUUUGAGCCUCCUGUACCCACUCUCUGAUGCUGGAGCAACUGCUGAAGGAUGCGGCCGCAGGCGCCUGGGGCUGUCUCGCUAACAAGGAGCAGAUUCCUCAAAAGCCUGCGGAGGAGACGUAGGAUCUUCAAGCAAAUUCUGGCAGCUGGAUCCCGAUAGCAGGUGGUGGUCACAUACAUGGAGGGGUGUUGGGUGUAAAAGUGAAGUUGAGUUUGAACCAUUUAGGCUCAAGCUGAUAAACUCAUAAAUAUGUGGGGAUUCUGUUUGUUUUUUA